UACGAAGGGGACUAGCGUUGUUCGGAAUCACUGGGCGUAAAGCGCACGUAGGCGGAUAUGUCAGUCAGGGGUGAAAUCCCGGGGCUCAACCUCGGAACUGCCUUUGAUACAGCAUAUCUUGAGUCCGAUAGAGGUGGGUGGAAUUCCUAGUGUAGAGGUGAAAUUCGUAGAUAUUAGGAAGAACACCGGUGGCGAAGGCGGCCCACUGGAUCGGUACUGACGCUGAG
rnacentral:rRNA from 1 species